rnacentral:rRNA from 1 species
GCGGGACUACACAUGCAAGUCGAACGGUAACAUUUCUAGCUUGCUAGAAGAUGACGAGUGGCCGGAUGGGUGAGUAAUGCUUGGGAACUUGCCUUUGCGAGGGGGAUAACAGUUGGAAACGACUGCUAAUACCGCAUAAUGUCUUCGGACCAAACGGGGCUUCGGCUCCGGCGCAAAGAGAGGCCCAAGUGAGAUUAGCUAGUUGGUAAGGUAACGGCUUACCAAGGCGACGAUCUCUAGCUGUUCUGAGAGGAAGAUCAGCCACACUGGGACUGAGACACGGCCCAGACUCCUACGGGAGGCAGCAGUGGGGAAUAUUGCACAAUGGGGGAAACCCUGAUGCAGCCAUGCCGCGUGUGUGAAGAAGGCCUUCGGGUUGUAAAGCACUUUCAGUUGUGAGGAAAAGUUAGUAGUUAAUACCUGCUAGCCGUGACGUUAACAACAGAAGAAGCACCGGCUAACUCCGUGCCAGCAGCCGCGGUAAUACGGAGGGUGCGAGCGUUAAUCGGAAUUACUGGGCGUAAAGCGCACGCAGGCGGUUUGUUAAGCUAGAUGUGAAAGCCCCGGGCUCAACCUGGGAUGGUCAUUUAGAACUGGCAGACUAGAGUCUUGGAGAGGGGAGUGGAAUUCCAGGUGUAGCGGUGAAAUGCGUAGAUAUCUGGAGGAACAUCAGUGGCGAAGGCGACUCCCUGGCCAAAGACUGACGCUCAUGUGCGAAAGUGUGGGUAGCGAACAGGAUUAGAUACCCUGGUAGUCCACACCGUAAACGCUGUCUACUAGCUGUGUGUGUCUUUAAGACGUGCGUAGCGAAGCUAACGCGCUAAGUAGACCGCCUGGGGAGUACGGCCGCAAGGUUAAAACUCAAAUGAAUUGACGGGGGCCCGCACAAGCGGUGGAGCAUGUGUUUAAUUCGAUGCAACGCGAAGAACCCUUACCUACACUUGACAUGCUGAGAAGUUACUAGAGAUAGUUUCGUGCCUUCGGGAACUCAGACCCAGGUGCUGCAUGCCUGUCGUCAGCUCGUGUCGUGAGAUGUUGGGUAAGUCCCGCAACGAGCGCACCCUUGGUCCUUAGUUGCCAGGCCUUAAGUUUGGGCCACUCUAAGGAGAACCUG